AAUCCGGUGUUUUUCAACACCACCUCAUUUCUUUUGCGCGAAGGAAU
rfam:Gonium pectorale scaffold00042, whole genome shotgun sequence.